UCCAGGCUGGGCGACAGAGCGAGACUCUGUCUCAAAAAAAAAAAGAAAGAAAAAAAAGAGUAAGCAGGAGUUCACAAGGUGUGGGAGACUGCUGUGUGUUCACCAAGCCUCAUCUUUCACACCUGGGCACAUGUUGUAGCCCGUUUGCAAAGAUAGCCGUAAUAUUCUCCUGUCCCUGGACAUGCCCUUUGCAAGUUGAUUUUGCCAUUCCUCCCAUUGAGAAGGCACUUUGUCCCCUACUAGUCUGGGUAAGCCUUGAGAGUUGCUUUGACCAAUAGAAUUUGCUAGAAGUGAUAUUGAGCCUAGGCCUGAAGAGGCCUUGUAGCUUCCACUCCUGCCCUAAGACUGUUGCAUGAAGAUACCCAGACUAGUGUCUUUGCAGAUGAACAAUCAUGGUGAAAGAGAAGCCCAGCCGGCAGCCAGCACCAAUCGCCAGCUGUGUGAGUGUGGCCAUCCUGGAUCAUCCAGCCCCAGCUGCCCCACCAGCUGACAGCAGCCACACAAGUGACCCCAGUUGAGACCAAUAAAAGAUCUGCCCAUCUGAUACAGCCCAAACUGCUGAACCCCAGAAUCAUGAACAAAUAAGUAAAAGAAAAGAACACUGGUUGUAUUUUAUGGUUGCACUAUGUCCAGCAGAAAAAGGCAUUCCUCAGUCUCCUUGCAGCAAGGUAAAGCCAUCUGAUAAAAUUUUGUCCAGUUGGAUAUAAGCCAAAAUGUUGCGUGACAAUUUUGGGAGGACUUCCUGAAACAGGUGGACAAACCCUUUUUCUACUGAGUCACCUUUGUGCCACCUGGAACUAACAGUGUGACGCGUGGAAUUUAGGCAGCCAUAUUGAACCAUGAGGACAAGAGCAGUGGGGAUGGCGGAACCAAGAGCUGGAAGGUGCCUGAGUCUCUGGUGAAGAUGUGGAGCUGCUGUAACAGCCCUCAACUCCUAGUUCUGGACUUCUUUUAUGUUUUAGUGUAACGCUUUGGGUAUUUUUAUUUUUUUAAUUUAUUUUAGAGAUGAGGUCUCACUAUGUUGCCUAGGCUGGACUCAAACUCUUAUGCUCAAGCAGUCCUCCUGCCUCAGCUUCAUGAGUAGCUGAAACUAUAGCACUUUGGGUAUUUCAGCCACUGUUUGAGGUUUUUCUAGCACCUCCUGGAAUAUCAAGCUUAACAUGUCCAAUCCUUGCCCCAGAUAUUUUCCUCCCCAAAUUUUCUCAAUCUCAAUAAAUGUCACCACCAUCCACCUGGUUGCUCAGGUCAAAAACCUAGAAAUCAUUCAAGUUCUCUCCCUUUCCCUCAUCCCCAAUAUCCAUUCCAUCAGCAACAUCUGUCCAUUCUACCUCCAAGACAUAUCCCAGAUCUCAUCACCUUUGUCUGCCUCUCCUACCCUCACUCUCAUCCAGCAUCAUCCCUCACCUGGACUCUGCAAAAGCCUACUCGUGGGUCUGUCUGCAUCCCUGUCUGCCUCCUCCAGGGCCAUUCUCCACCCAGUGGCCGGAUCGAUUUUUCAAAGAGGUUGAUCCCAGCUCAACCACUUGCCAUCUGUGUGACCUGUGGGCAAGUGACCUUACCUUUCGGAGCCUCAGUUGCCCCAUCUAUAAAAUGGGAAUGAUGCCAGUGCCUGCCUCAUAAGGAUGAGCCCCGCUCCUGAAGCUCAGGGAGCCCUCUCUGCAAGGCUGUUUUAGUGCAACCUCCGGAAACAUGCCCAUGCAUGUGAAAACUGGCAUGCACAUUCUGGUGCUUUUAAAAACAUCUCGAAGCCUAUCCACAGAUCCUGGACCUCAAGACUGGUUCAGUGCUAGCCCCCCAUUUUACAGAUGUGGAGAAUGAGGCUUAGCGGGUCCCAGGCAAGUCAGUGGCAAA
rnacentral:lncRNA from 1 species